CUAUCUAUCUCGGCCUUUUGGCUAAGAUCAAAGUGUAGAAUCUGUUCUUAUCAGCUUAAUAUCUAAUACGGUCCCUAUUUGGGGCCAUCGAUAUUAAACUGAUUUUUAGAACGAGGCGAAGUGUUAAGGGCUUGCUUCACCUUUGCCACAAGUUGUUCUGAUAUUGCAAUGCUUCCAGGAUUCAGCCCAUCUCCC
rnacentral:snRNA from 1 species